GAUGAACGCUGACAGAAUGCUUAACACAUGCAAGUCAACUUGAACUUCGGUUUGGGUGGCGGACGGGUGAGUAACGCGUAAAGAACUUGCCUCACAGAUAGGGACAACAUUUGGAAACGAAUGCUAAUACCUGAUAUUAUGAUUAUAUGGCAUCGUAUAAUUAUGACAGCUAUAUGCGCUGUGAGAGAGCUUUGCGUCCCAUUAGCUAGUUGGAGAGGUAACGGCUCACCAAGGCGAUGAUGGGUAGCCGGCCUGAGAGGGUGAUCGGCCACAAGGGGACUGAGACACGGCCCUUACUCCUACGGGAGGCAGCAGUGGGGAAUAUGGGACAAUGGACCAAGAGUCUGAUCCAGCAAUUCUGUGUGCACGAUGAAGUUUUUCGGAAUGUAAAGUGCUUUCAGUUGGGAAGAAAAAAAUGACGGUACCAACAGAAGAAGUGACGGCUAAAUACGUG
rnacentral:rRNA from 1 species